rnacentral:rRNA from 1 species
ACUCCUACGGGAGGCAGCAGUGGGGAAUAUUGGACAAUGGGCGAAAGCCUGAUCCAGCCAUGCCGCGUGUGUGAAGAAGGGUUUCGGCUCGUAAAGCUCUGUUGUUAAAGAAGAACACGUAUGAGAGUAACUGUUCAUACGUUGACGGUAUUUAACCAGAAAGUCACGGCUAACUACGUGCCAGCAGCCGCGGUAAUACGUAGGUGGCAAGCGUUAUCCGGAUUUAUUGGGCGUAAAGAGAGUGCAGGCGGUUUUCUAAGUCUGAUGUGAAAGCCUUCGGCUUAACCGGAGAAGUGCAUCGGAAACUGGAUAACUUGAGUGCAGAAGAGGGUAGUGGAACUCCAUGUGUAGCGGUGGAAUGCGUAGAUAUAUGGAAGAACACCAGUGGCGAAGGCGGCUACCUGGUCUGCAACUGACGCUGAGACUCGAAAGCAUGGGUAGCGAACAGGAUUAGAUACCCUGGUAGGAUAGCG